rnacentral:rRNA from 1 species
UCGGAAUUACUGGGCGUAAAGCGCGCGUAGGUGGUUUGUUAAGUUGGAUGUGAAAGCCCUGGGCUCAACCUAGGAACUGCAUCCAAAACUAACUCACUAGAGUACGAUAGAGGGAGGUAGAAUUCAUAGUGUAGCGGUGGAAUGCGUAGAUAUUAUGAAGAAUACCAGUGGCGAAGGCGGCCUCCUGGAUCUGUACUGACACUGAGGUGCGAAAGCGUGGGUAGCGAACAGGAUUAGAUACCCUGGUAGUCCACGCCGUAAACGAUGACAACUAGCUGUUGGGAGGCAUUGCCUUUCAGUGGCGCAGCUAACGUUUUAAGUUGUCCGCCUGGGGAGUACGGCCGCAAGGCUAAAACUCAAAUGAAUUGACGGGGACCCGCACAAGCAGUGGAUCAUGUGGUUUAAUUCGAUGCAACGCGAAAAACCUUACCUACUCUUGACAUACUUGGAAGCUCUUGUAAUGAGAGUGUGCUUUUAAGAACCAAGAUACAGGUGCUGCAUGGCUGUCGUCAGCUCGUGUCGUGAGAUGUUCCGUUAAGUCGGAUAACGAGCGCAACCCUUACCCUUAUUUGCCAGCGAUUCGGUCGGGAACUAUAAGGGGACUGCCGGUGAUAAACCGGAGGAAGGUGAGGACGACGUCAAGUCAUCAUGGCCCUUACGAGUAGGGCUACACACGUGCUACAAUGG